rnacentral:tRNA from 1 species
AUAAAUUUAAGCUAAAUAAAGCUAAUGGGUUCAUACCUCAUUU